AGAGUCGGGAAUAACCACCGUAGGAAACAGAUGACUAAUACCGGAUAACAACAGAUGAUGCCUAUCAACUGUUUAAAAGAUGGUUCUGCUAUCACUCUUGGAUGGACCUGCGGUGCAUUAGCUAGUUGGUAGGGUAACGGCCUACCAAGGCUAUGAUGCAUAGCCGAGUUGAGAGACUGAUCGGCCACAUUGGGACUGAGACACGGCCCAAACUCCUACGGGAGGCAGCAGAC
rnacentral:rRNA from 1 species